rnacentral:rRNA from 1 species
UGGGGAAUUUUGGACAAUGGGCGAAAGCCUGAUCCAGCAAUGCCGCGUGUGUGAAGAAGGCCUUCGGGUUGUAAAGCACUUUUGUCCGGAAAGAAAGUCCUUGGCUCUAAUACAGUCGGGGGAUGACGGUACCGGAAGAAUAAGCACCGGCUAACUACGUGCCAGCAGCCGCGGUAAUACGUAGGGUGCAAGCGUUAAUCGGAAUUACUGGGGCGUAAAGCGUGCGCAGGCGGUUUGCUAAGACCGAUGUGAAAUCCCCGGGCUCAACCUGGGGAACUGCAUUGGUGACUGGCAGGCUAGAGUAUGGCAGAGGGGGGUAGAAUUCCACGUNUAGCAGUGAAAUGCGUAGAGAUGUGGAGGAAUACCGAU